UUUCCUCUCGCUUUCUUUUUUGUUCGAGUGGCCAAAUCGCUCUUGGCAGAGCAAGUGCAUGAUGAAGUGUCCGAGUAAAACGAGAUUGAAUGGAAAUGAAUGGACCAGCAGUCCUCUUUCUAUUGAUUCUCAAGUAUAUAUACAUCUGAAAGAGGUGCGAAGAAAAGGUGUCUGUUCGGAGGCAUCCCUCCAGAACAGAACAGGUGCUUGUUGGCAAUAGACACAAAGAGGAGACACGACUGUUCGGGUUGGACAUAUCCCUUGAAUUAAUCUACUAAUUAAUUUGUAACAGGGGCGUCAGAGCGGUCGGUUGGUGGGACGAGGAUCCUUGGCGGCGUGGGUUGAUGGGAGCGACGCGGGGGUGGCACUAGGGUUUGUGGUGUGGCCGGCUGGGCCACUUUGGCCUAGUCGGCCAACGGGGCUUUUAUUUUUUAUUUUUAUUUUUUUUAGAAAUAGCUUUCUAUUUUAAUUAUAUAGGGAUUGUAAUAAUCUUAUAAAUGCCCUGUUCACCUGAUAAUUCAUU
rnacentral:lncRNA from 1 species